rnacentral:rRNA from 1 species
UACGUAGGGUGCGAGCGUUAAUCGGAAUUACUGGGCGUAAAGCGUGCGCAGGCGGUUUGUUAAGACAGAUGUGAAAUCCCCGGGCUUAACCUGGGAACUGCAUUUGUGACUGCACAGCUGGAGUGCGGCAGAGGGGGAUGGAAUUCCGCGUGUAGCAGUGAAAUGCGUAGAUAUGCGGAGGAACACCGAUGGCGAAGGCAAUCCCCUGGACCUGUACUGACGCUCAUGCACGAAAGCGUGGGGAGCAAACAGG